GACGAACGCUGGCGGCGUGCUUAACACAUGCAAGUCGAACGGAAAGGCCCCCUUGUGGGGUACUCGAGUGGCGAACAGGUGAGUAACACGUGAGUAACCUACCCUUGACUUUGGGAUAACUUCAGGAAACUGGGGCUAAUACCGGAUAGGAGCUCCUGCUGCAUGGUGGGGGUUGGAAAGUUUCGGCGGUUGGGGAUGGACUCGCGGCUUAUCAGCUUGUUGGUGGGGUAGUGGCUCACCAAGGCUUUGACGGGUAGCCGGCCUGAGAGGGUGACCGGCCACAUUGGGACUGAGAUACGGCCCAGACUCCUACGGGAGGCAGCAGUGGGGAAUAUUGCACAAUGGGCGGAAGCCUGAUGCAGCAACGCCGCGUGCGGGAUGACGGCCUUCGGGUUGUAAACCGCUUUCGCCUGUGACGAAGCGUGAGUGACGGUAAUGGGUAAAGAAGCACCGGCUAACUACGUG
rnacentral:rRNA from 1 species